rnacentral:rRNA from 1 species
UACGGAGGGGGCUAGCGUUGCUCGGAAUGACUGGGCGUAAAGGGCGCGUAGGCGGAUGGCACAGUCAGAUGUGAAAUUCCCGGGCUUAACCUGGGGGCUGCAUUUGAUACGUGUUGUCUAGAGUGAGGAAGAGGGUUGUGGAAUUCCCAGUGUAGAGGUGAAAUUCGUAGAUAUUGGGAAGAACACCGGUGGCGAAGGCGGCAACCUGGUCCUUGACUGACGCUGAGGCGCGAAAGCGUGGGGAGCAAACAGG